rnacentral:rRNA from 1 species
AUUGAACGCUGGCGGCAGGCCUAACACAUGCAAGUCGAGCGGUUGAAGUUAGUUUGCUUCUGGAUUCAGCGGCCGACGGGUGAGUUAUUCCUAGGUAUCUGCUUUGUAGUUGGGGAUAACGUCCGGAUACGGGCCCUAUUACCGCAUACCUUCUGGGGUUUAAAGUGGGGGAUCUUCGUACCUCACGCUAUUAGCUGACCCGAGGUCGGAUUCCCUAGUUGGUUGGGUAAAGGCCUACCAAGGCGACGAUCCGUAACUGGUCUGAUAGGAUGAUCCAUCAAACUGGAACGGGAAAACGGUCCAGACUCCUACGGGAGGCAGAAGUGGGGAAUAUUGGAAAAUGGGCGAAAGCCUGAUCCAGACAGGCCGCGUGGGGGAAGAAGGUCUUCGGAUUGUAAAGCACUUUAAGUGGGGAGGAAGGGCAGGAAGUUAAUACCUUGAUGUUUUGACGGUACCAACAGAAUAAGCACCGGCUAACUUCGUG